UCACAGAAGAAGUCCUGGCUAACUCCGUGCCAGCAGCCGCGGUAAUACGGAGAGGGCUAGCGUUAUUCGGAAUUAUUGGGCGUAAAGGGCGCGUAGGCGGAUUAGUAAGUUAAAAGUGAAAUCCCAAGGCUCAACCUUGGAAUUGCUUUUAAAACUGCUAAUCUAGAGAUUGAAAGAGGAUAGAGGAAUUCCUAGUGUAGAGGUGAAAUUCGUAAAUAUUAGGAGGAACACCAGUGGCGAAGGCGUCUAUCUGGUUCAAAUCUGACGCUGAGGCGCGAAGGCGUGGGGAGCAAACAGGAUUAGAUACCCUGGUAGUCCACGCUGUAAACGAUGAAUGUUAAAUAUGGGAAGUUUUACUUUCUGUAUUACAGCUAACGCGUUAAACAUUCCGCCUGGGGACUACGGUCGCAAGAUUAAAACUCAAAGGAAUUGACGGGGACCCGCACAAGCGGUGGAGCAUGUGGUUUAAUUCGAUGCAACGCGAAAAACCUUACCACUCCUUGACAUGGAAAUUAUACCUAUUCGAAGGGAUAGGGUCGGUUCGGCCGGGUUUCACACAGGUGUUGCAUGGCUGUCGUCAGCUCGUGUCGUGAGAUGUUGGGUUAAGUCCCGCAACGAGCGCAACCCUCAUCCUUAGUUACCAUCAGGUAAUGCUGGGGACUUUAAGGAAACUGCCAGUGAUAAGCUGGAGGAAGGUGGGGAUGAUGUCAAGUCAUCAUGGCCCUUAUGGAGUGGGCUACACACGUGCUACAAUGGUGGCUACAAUGGGCUGCAAAGUCGCAAGGCUAAGCCAAUCCCUUAAAAGCCAUCUCAGUUCGGAUUGUACUCUGCAACUCGAGUGCAUGAAGUUGGAAUCGCUAGUAAUCGUGGAUCAGCACGCCACGGUGAAUACGUUCUCGGGUCUUGUACACACUGCCCGUCACGCCAUGGGAAUUGGUUCACUCGAAGCUAACGACGUAACCCCCCAGU
rnacentral:rRNA from 1 species